rnacentral:lncRNA from 1 species
GAAGAUAGGGAAAAGUCCACUUGUUGCUGUUGAAUUAGGGAUCUUCAAAACAAUUCAAGGAUGUGAGUAGGUUAAAGUGUCUCAGGAACGUUGUUCUGCUCAUUCUCUGUGGGAAGCAAGCCUAUGUGAGCCACAGUUCAUGUUACCUCCUUGCUGUAAGCCUCUGGUGGACUGCAGGGCAAACCCAAAGAGCUCCCAGGAAAUUGCUUGAUGUUGUAUGAAAAUUUGCUCAGGUCUUAAAAGCACUUAAAGUAAAAAUUUUGUGUAUAAAGUGGUCAGAAAGGAUACAUUGUGAUAAGGAAAAAUCAAGACAGUAAGGGUCUUAUGUGUGAAGUACAAGAAGGAGGAGGACAUGAUGGAAUUCCUUCCUUCUUCUGACCAAGAGGAUUUUUUUUCUUUCUGAACUUAUAUUUCUGUGCUCCCAAUAAGCAUAUUGUUUCUCUUCCCUUUUGUAACAGAGAAUCAUUAUGAAUUUGGCCAGCUCCAUCAGGAAAGUCAUCAAACAGGUCUUGUCUGUCAGAAUUGCCACCCCUGGACUCCUCAACUAGAACAUAUAGAACGUGCUGGUGCCUCUGUGUCUUUCCUGCUUUGGGAGUGCUGACAGACUCAUGAUGGGGUGUCCCAGGAGAUCCUCACGGGAACAUAAGAAUGAAGGAACAGAGGAGUGAGAGGCUGGGGGAUUCUCAUUAACCUUUCCAACUGUGUAGUCCUGUGACUGUCACGGCAUUUCUACCAAGUCUGGGCUUGCCAGAGUCAUGGGUGUGGAUAAUCAUACACUAGGAUGGAUGCCACCACUUGUGCUCAGAAACCCUGUUAUCAUUUUAAG